AAGAUAUUCCAAAUGAUGGAUGAAAAUAACAACAUAUACCAAGUUCAAGCCUUACAUACAUACACCAAAAGUUCAUCAGUCUUGAGCAACGUCAAUGGCCAGUGAUAGCCUUACAUAUACCAAGUUCAAGGCAAUACAAUAUCAGCCAUCAAGUUGAAGCUUACAUAAUAUAAAUUCAGAACUUAGACACUAAUUCAUGAUCAAGUUUUAACAAAAGAAACAUCCUACUCAUUGAAAUCACUCUUACAUUCCAGGGAACUUCUCAGCGAUGAACAUUGUGACCCAAUUUAACUUGUGCUCGAAUGGCAAGUUAUAGAAAGCUUUGCCAAUGUGAGGAUUGCUCACCAAAUGAGCAUAGUAGAAGGAUAUGUGUGCUGAAUUAAAACCAGGAAGUUGGUUCAAGACAUCAAAUAGGUCAGGUGGCAGCUCAUUAUCAGGUUACCUGGACAUGGCCGUUGUAGUGCUCCUCAUCUAGUGUAAUCAUGCAGUUUUCUUCAUCAAAGAGGGCACCACUCAACUUCUUCAAUCUAUUUAUCUUUGCAUACCUUUUCUGCCAUGUUUUCAAAUGAUUCUUAACUUGCUCACCAGUGAUCCUUGUGGUGAACUUCUCAUUGAUAACCCUAGCACAACCAUUAAAAAGGUGCUUCUUAAAUCCCUUUGAUGUCUUCAAACCAGCAG